rnacentral:rRNA from 1 species
UACGGAGGGUGCAAGCGUUAUCCGGAUUUACUGGGUUUAAAGGGUGCGUAGGCGGGUUGUUAAGUCAGUGGUGAAAGAUUCGAGCUCAACUCGGAAACUGCCAUUGAUACUGAUGACCUUGAAUACAGUUGAGGUAGGCGGAAUAUUACAUGUAGCGGUGAAAUGCUUAGAUAUGUAAUAGAACACCGAUUGCGAAGGCAGCUUGCUAAACUGUUAUUGACGCUGAGGCACGAAAGCGUGGGGAUCAAACAGG